CUGGAUGAUCCCCACUAGGCUUAUGUUCCUACAAGGGAACCAACACUAUUUAAUUUUUGUUGGCACAAUUUCAAAAGUAAUCAUUUAGAUUUCCUCAAGGGAGUACAAAACUAGCGUAAGGAAAUUAUAACAAGCACUAGUUUUGUUGAAACAAGCACCGUAUGAGAUUGUAUCUGCAAGUCUGUGGAAAAGAAGGGGAGGAGGCUCCUGUGUCCGCUGAACAAGAGUCGAUCCAGCGCCUUGCGCCUCCUCGAUCUGGUGCUGUCCGCGCCCCUCCAUCCUAGUCUAAUUGUACUAUUCGAGUAGGAAUAGAAACCGGCUCACAACUUCCUGCCCGUCACAACCACAACGAAAGGGCGACUAGAAACAAGCAGCAGGGUCCAGUAUCAAAGGAACCAGCUGUUGCACCUAGGCGUUGUAAAAAGAAAACGGCACACAUUAGUUCUAAAAAUAAAUACACUUUCAGGCAAUAGUUCUGUUUUUUAUCCUAGGAUCUAUAGAUAAUUAUAUAUGACCAUGGCCUAACAGACAAUGAAAAUGAGUGAUUUAUCUGCUAUAAGUUCAUAAGACAACUGGAUAUCUGAGAAUCUUUGUUGCCGUCGCCUGGAACCAUUGCACCUUUUGCUCACGCACCAUUCCCUAACACGCGUGGCUCUUUUUAUAAAUCAUAUCCAAGUAUGCAAUAUCCAUAAUUAAGCAGAUUGUUUCAAAGUAUCCAAAUCAGUAAGCCGAGCAAACAGGCUAUUUCUUCAUGUGCAAAAUUUGGAGUACUAGUAAGCUGCCAAAUAUGAUUACGUGCUAUUGCUUCACUCUAUUUCUAGUUGAUUUAUUUUUGGAAGUACAGAAGCUUCAAGUUUGGAGGGCCGAAUUUCUAAUGAGGAGGGAACAGAACUGCUGCGUUUAGCUCCAAGUUUCCUGCAUUAUGAACGACGAGAAUGGCCUAAUGUAAGAACUUUGGUUCUUGCGUUGGUAUCUGUUCAGAAGGAUGUCAAGUCUCCAUCUUACAAUCUGAUGGAUAAACCCCAUGAUUGUGCAUUUACCUUUUUUUCGAUCCAUCUUUCACCUCUGCACCAGAAAGGACCUUACUGCAAUAUGUGGAAUUCUAGAGUCAACUGGCUAGAGAUGAUGAGGGAACUGCAAAUGAGGGUGGUUCUAAGAUCCGUGAAGCUUAUCUCAUAUUCCAGGACUUUUUUGCGGAUGCUGAAACUGUAUUCGCGGCUCAACACCUGCAUCCCAUGGAUUUGCCUUCUCUGAACUUGUAUUCAAUGCACCAGACAGAAAUAAACUGAGCACCGUUUCACCUUCAGAGUAGGCACGGCUAAAUUUGAUGGGCUUUUUUCUUUGCUUCUCUAAUGUUAGUGAUUAGUGGAGCAUAGAUGAAGUGAAUAUAGUGUUGUUCUUGAUUGGUUUUCUCGUAAAUGUGGAGCAUGUGCAAUUUUAUGGCACUGAUUUGGUUUAUGGCACCGUCGGGGAAUGAACUGAGCACGGUUUGUGAUUCAGACAGGCCCCUUUCAUUUAUUUGUGGCUACUAAAUUCGAUUUUUUUUUUUUUGCUUCUCUCCUAUUUGUGAUAAGAGAUAGGGAUAGUGGAGACUAUAAGAACAAUCCAAGUCUGUGUUCGUCAUUUGAUUCUCUGG